rnacentral:rRNA from 1 species
CAGCCGCCGCGGUAAUACGGAGGGUGCAUGCGUUAAUCGGAAUCACUGGGCGUAAAGCGCACGCAGGCGGUUUGUUAAGUCAGAUGUGAAAUCCCCGAGCUUAACUUGGGAACUGCAUUUGAAACUGGCAAGCUAGAGUCUUGUAGAGGGGGGUGGAAUUCCAGGUGUAGCGGUGAAAUGCGUAGAGAUCUGGAGGAAUACCGGUGGCGAAGGCGGCCCCCUGGACAAAGACUGACGCUCAGGUGCGAAAGCGUGGGGAGCAAACAGGAUUAGAUACCCCAGUAGUCCCUGUCUCUUAUAA